ensembl:snRNA U1 U1 spliceosomal RNA
AUACUUACCUGGCAAGGGAGACACCAUGAUCACGAAAGUGGUUUUCCCAGGGCCAGGCUUAUCCAUUGCACUGUGGAUGUGCUGACCCCUGUGAUUUCCCCAAGUGUGGGAAACUCAACUGCAUAAUUUGUCGUAGUGGGGGACUAUGUACAUGCUUUCCCCUG